GAUGAACGCUGACAGAAUGCUUAACACAUGCAAGUCGAUGGGGAAGUGGUGCUUGCACCAUGGCAACCAUGGCGGACGGGUGAGUAACGCGUAAGGGACUUACCUGCAGGACUGGGAUAACAGGGGUAAACUCCUGACAAGACCGGAUAAUGUCAUGGAGCUGCAUGGCUUUAUGAUGAAAGGAGACGCCUGCGGAGAGCCUUGCGUCCUAUUAGCUAGUUGGUGAGGUAAUGGCUCACCAAGGCGAAGAUAGGUAGCCGGCCUGAGAGGGUGGACGGCCACAAGGGGACUGAGAUACGGCACUUACUCCUACGGGAGGCAGCAGUGGGGAAUAGUGGAAAAUGGGGGCAACCCUGAUCCAGCAAUUCUGUGUGCACGAAGAAGGUUUUCGGAGUGUAAAGUGCUUUCAGAAGGGAAGAAGUAAGUGACGGUACCUGCAGAAGAAGCGACGGCUAAAUACGUG
rnacentral:rRNA from 1 species